rnacentral:rRNA from 1 species
GACAGAGGUGCCGAGCGUUAGGCGGAAUCACUGGGCUUAAAGCGUGUGUAGGCGGAUCGUUAAGUGCCUUGUGAAAUCCCACGGCUCAACCGUGGAACUGCUUGGCAUACUGGCGAUCUUGAGCCAGCUAGGGGCAACCGGAACAAAUGGUGGAGCGGUGAAAUGCGUAGAUAUCAUUUGGAACGCCAAUGGUGAAAACAGGUUGCUGGGGCUGUGCUGACGCUGAGACACGAAAGCCAGGGGAGCAAACGGG